ACAGACGAGAUGUUGGGUCGAUGAGUCGCCUCUGUCAAAAUAAACAUUUCAAUUUGUUGUCAUGCUUUGAGAUCAUCAUCGACCGUCAUUCAUUAUUCGGUACGCAGCGAGUUUCGGUGUAUAAAUUAAUAUAACAACAAGAGAAACAGUAGACUCGAAAGACACAGACAGAAACAAUGAACUCGAAAUUGUUGCUCCUUUUUUCGUUGACCAUAAUUUUGUGUUGGCAAAAUGUGAAUUGUGGAGUGAUGUCCGACUUCUUUUGUUGGACACUGCGAAACGAUAAUCCAGGCGCCGAUUGGUGUUACGGAGACGAAGAGGCGAGAGACACGAACUGCCUUCCAGAUAAAAUACGGAGAACAUGGACGGAGCAUAAGAUUAUGAAUACGAUAGCGUGCUACUGCUGUAAAUUGCUUUAGAGAACAUAAUGUUCUCUGCCAUGCCAUACAAGCUAUAUAUAGCUGAAUUAUUCUAAGUUAUUAUAAAAAUUGUCUUGAAUAAAUUGAAUUCACUCGAUGAGAA